GGCGGGAUGGAGCAGUCUGGUAGCUCGUCGGGCUCAUAACCCGAAGGUCGUUGGUUCAAAUCCAGCUCCCGCUACCA
rnacentral:tRNA from 2 species